CGGGAGGCAGCAGUAGGGAAUCUUCCACAAUGGACGAAAGUCUGAUGGAGCAACGCCGCGUGAGUGAUGAAGGUUUUCGGAUCGUAAAACUCUGUUGUUAAAGAAGAACAAGUGUUAGAGUAACUGUUAACACUUUGACGGUAUUUAACCAGAAAGCCACGGCUAACUACGUGCCAGCAGCCGCGGUAAUACGUAGGUGGCAAGCGUUGUCCGGAUUUAUUGGGCGUAAAGCGAGCGCAGGCGGUUUUGUAAGUCUGCUGUGAAAGCCCUCAGCUCAACUGAGGAAGUGCAGUGGAAACUACAAAACUUGAGUACAGAAGAGGAAAGUGGAACUCCAUGUGUAGCGGUGAAAUGCGUANAUAUAUGGAAGAACACCAGUGGCGAAGGCGGCUUCUGGUCUGUUACUGACNCUGAGGCUCGAAAGCAUGGGUAGCGAACAGGAUUANAUACCCUUGGUAGUCCAUGCCGUAAACGAUGAAUACUAGGUGUUGGAGGGGUUUCCGCCCUUUCAGUGCCGCAGCUAAACGCAUUAAGUAUUUCCGCCUGGGGAGUACGACCGCAAGGUUGAAACUCAAAGGAAUUGANCGGGGGCCCGCACAAGUGGUGGAGCAUGUGGUUUAAUUCGAUGCUACGCGAAGAACCUUACCAGCUCUUGACAUCUUCUGCCAACCCAAGAGAUUGGGCGUUCCCUUCGGGGACAGAAUGACAGGUGGUGCAUGGUUGUCGUCAGCUCGUGUCGUGAGAUGUUGGGUUAAGUCCCGCAACGAGCGCAACCCUUAUUAUUAGUUGCCAGCAUUUAGUUGGGCACUCUAGUGAGACUGCCGGUGAUAAACCGGAGGAAGGUGGGGACGACGUCAAAUCAUCAUGCCCCUUAUGAGCUGGGCUACACACGUGCUACAAUGGAUGGUACAACGAGUCGCGAAACCGCGAGGUCAAGCUAAUCUCUUAAAGCCAUUCUCAGUUCGGAUUGCAGGCUGCAACUCGCCUGCAUGAAGUUGGAAUCACUAGUAAUCGUGGAUCAGCAUGCCACGGUGAAUACGUUCCCGGGCCUUGUACAGC
rnacentral:rRNA from 1 species